GGAUAACUCAGCCCUUGCAGGCCUAACACAUGCAAGUCGAACGGUAACAGGAAGAAGCUUGCUUCUUUGCUGACGAGUGGCGGACGGGUGAGUAAUGUCUGGGAAACUGCCUGAUGGAGGGGGGUAACUACUGGAAACGGUAGCUAAUACUGCAUAACGUCGCAAGACCAAAAAGGGGGACCUUCGGGCCUCUUGCCAUCGGAUGUGCCCAGAUGGGAUUAGCUAGUAGGUGGGGUAACGGCUCACCUAGGCGACGAUCCCUAGCUGGUCUGAGAGGAUGACCAGCCACACUGGAACUGAGACACGGUCCAGACUCCUACGGGAGGCAGCAGUGGGGAAUAUUGCACAAUGGGCGCAAGCCUGAUGCAGCCAUGCCGCGUGUAUGAAGAAGGCCUUCGGGUUGUAAAGUACUUUCAGCGGGGAGGAAGGGAGUAAAGUUAAUACCUUUGCUCAUUGACGUUACCCGCAGAAGAAGCACCGGCUAACUCCGUGCCAGCAGCCGCGGUAAUACGGAGGGUGCAAGCGUUAAUCGGAAUUACUGGGCGUAAAGCGCACGCAGGCGGUUUGUUAAGUCAGAUGUGAAACCCCCGGGCUCAACCUGGGAACUGCAUCUGAUACUGGCAAGCUUGAGUCUCGUAGAGGGGGGUAGAAUUCCAGGUGUAGCGGUGAAAUGCGUAGAGAUCUGGAGGAAUACCGGUGGCGAAGGCGGCCCCCUGGACGAAGACUGACGCUCAGGUGCGAAAGCGUGGGGAGCAAACAGGAUUAGAUACCCUGGGUAGUCCACGCCGUAAACGAUGUCGACUUGGAGGUUGUGCCCUUGAGGCGUGGCUUCCGGAGCUAACGCGUUAAGUCGACCGCCUGGGGAGUACGGCCGCAAGGUUAAAACUCAAAUGAAUUGACGGGGGCCCGCACAAGCGGUGGAGCAUGUGGUUUAAUUCGAUGCAACGCGAAGAACCUUACCUGGUCUUGACAAUCCACCGGAAGUUUUCAGAGAUGAGAAUGUGCCUUCGGGAACCAUGAGACAGUGCUGCAUGGCUGUCGUCAGCUCGUGUGUGAAUGUGGCAGUCCGCUACGAGCGCAACCCUUAUCCUUGUGCCACCGUCGGCGGGAAACCUCAAGGAAGAAUCGUGCCAA
rnacentral:rRNA from 1 species